UAGGGAAUCUUCCGCAAUGGACGCAAGUCUGACGGAGCAACGCCGCGUGAGUGAAGAAGGAUUUCGGUUCGUAAAACUCUGUUGUUAGAGAAGAACAGCGCAUAGAGUAACUGUUAUGCGUGUGACGGUAUCUAACCAGAAAGCCACGGCUAACUACGUGCCAGCAGCCGCGGUAAUACGUAGGUGGCAAGCGUUGUCCGGAUUUAUUGGGCGUAAAGCGAGCGCAGGCGGUUAGAAAAGUCUGAAGUAAAAGGCAGUGGCUCAACCAUUGUAGGCUUUGGAAACUGUUUAACUUGAGUGCAGAAGGGGAGAGUGGAAUUCCAUGUGUAGCGGUGAAAUGCGUAGAUAUAGGGAGGAACACCGGUGGCGAAAGCGGCUCUCUGGUCUGUAACUGACGCUGAGGCUCGAAAGCGUGGGUAGCAAACAGG
rnacentral:rRNA from 1 species